rnacentral:misc_RNA from 1 species
GAAUAAUCCAUCUGUGGCCUAGCAUCUGCCUUAUGCAGAAAGGUCAGGAUUUCAAAUUCCAUUUCCAACACUCUUCCGCAGGGUAUCUCUUCAUUUGACUAAGAACAAUGGCAGAAGAUAUGCAGCAACUAGACCAUUAGAUGUUAAAUUCCAGGAUUAUCACUUGCUUAUAAAGAUUUUUGCUAGAAAUCAUUGACUUCUUAAUCACAUCAAAGAAAGCGAUAAAGGGAAAUGAAAAGGACGGACUGAAGGGGAAGAAAAAUAAUUCAAAGCAUACAAGAAUCCCAAUAAUUAAGUACAUAUGUGACAAGUUAAUUUUUUUCAGUUUCCAUAAACCUUUCUAAGUUGAGUGGUGACUGUAAAUGCAAAAAGAAAUUCCUCCCCAAACCCGAUUAACUGCUCUCAGUGGAGAAAGAAAUCACAACCUUGGCACCCAGAUAACCUAUAAGUAAAGUUGUGAUCAACUUACCAUGAAAAAUUGACAAAAUUUUAGCACACAUGUCAGAAGAAGAAAAAUUAAAAGGCUAUCAACUUGAAAGUUGAUGCAUCUUUAAUGGGACUUCAGGAGUCAUCAAUCAAAGAGUGCAACUCCCCACGGAAACUAGAAAUUUUGUCUGCCUCAACAGCCAUGACUAACCCCAUUAACCUGU